AAUGAACGCUGGCGGCGUGCCUAACACAUGCAAGUCGAACGAGAAAGCACUUCGGUGUGAGUACAGUGGCGAACGGGUGAGUAACGCGUAAGAAUCUACCUAUUUGUGAAGGAUACCCUCGAGAAAUCGAGGCUAAUACUGCAUACGUCCUAAGGGAGAAAGGAGGCCUCUUGCUUCCGCAGAUAGAUGAGCUUGCGUACUAUUAGUUAGUUGGUAGGGUAAAGGCCUACCAAGACGAUGAUGGUUAGCCGACCUGAGAGGGUGAUCGGCCACAUUGGGACUGAGACACGGCCCAGACUCCUACGGGAGGCAG
rnacentral:rRNA from 1 species